UAAUAGAGGAUGCACUGGGAGAGGAAGCAGAGUAUAUCCCAUUAAAUAGUCAACGUACAAGCUAUGAUUGUGGAAUAUUCGUAAUGAAAUGGCUGGAAACAAUAGAUCCACAAAAAAUAAAGAGCGGCAAGAGAUAUAAAUAUAAAGUUUGGAUACAAAAAGAAAUUGAUGACUCCAGAUACCAAUAUGGUCCACUGUUUCAUGA